CCGGAGCUUGCUCCACCGGAAAAAGAGGAGUGGCGAACGGGUGAGUAACACGUGGGUAACCUGCCCAUCAGAAGGGGAUAACACUUGGAAACAGGUGCUAAUACCGUAUAACAAUCGAAACCGCAUGGUUUUGAUUUGAAAGGCGCUUUCGGGUGUCGCUGAUGGAUGGACCCGCGGUGCAUUAGCUAGUUGGUGAGGUAACGGCUCACCAAGGCGACGAUGCAUAGCCGACCUGAGAGGGUGAUCGGCCACAUUGGGACUGAGACACGGCCCAAACUCCUACGGGAGGCAGCAGUAGGGAAUCUUCGGCAAUGGACGAAAGUCUGACCGAGCAACGCCGCGUGAGUGAAGAAGGUUUUCGGAUCGUAAAACUCUGUUGUUAGAGAAGAACAAGGAUGAGAGUAACUGUUCAUCCCUUGACGGUAUCUAACCAGAAAGCCACGGCUAACUACGUGCCAGCAGCCGCGGUAAUACGUAGGUGGCAAGCGUUGUCCGGAUUUAUUGGGCGUAAAGCGAGCGCAGGCGGUUUCUUAAGUCUGAUGUGAAAGCCCCCGGCUCAACCGGGGAGGGUCAUUGGAAACUGGGAGACUUGAGUGCAGAAGAGGAGAGUGGAAUUCCAUGUGUAGCGGUGAAAUGCGUAGAUAUAUGGAGGAACACCAGUGGCGAAGGCGGCUCUCUGGUCUGUAACUGACGCUGAGGCUCGAAAGCGUGGGGAGCAAACAGGAUUAGAUACCCUGGUAGUCCACGCCGU
rnacentral:rRNA from 1 species